AUUGAACGCUGGCGGCAUGCUUUACACAUGCAAGUCGAACGGCAGCGGGGUAGUGCUUGCACUACUGCCGGCGCGUGGCGCACGGGUGAGUAAUAUAUCGGAACGUACCGAGUAAUGGGGGAUAACCAAUCGAAAGAUUGGCUAUUACCGCACACGUCCUGAAGGAGAAAGCGCGGGAUCGCAAGACCCCGCGCUAUUCUAGCGGCCGAUAACUGAUUAGCUAGUUGGUGGGGUAAAGGCCUACCAAGGCGACGAUCAGUAGCGGGUCUGAGAGGACGAUCGGCCACACUGGGACUGAGACACGGCCCAGACUCCUACGGGAGGCAGCAGUGGGGAAUUUUGGACAAUGGGGGCAACCCUGAUCCAGCCAUGCCGCGUGUAUGAAGAAGGCCUUCGGGUUGUAAAGUACUUUUGUUAGGGAAGAAAAGCGAAGUGCUAAUACCACUUUUUGCUGACGGUACCUAAAGAAUAAGCACCGGCUAACUACGUG
rnacentral:rRNA from 1 species